AACAAAAGUCCAGUCUACUCUGCCAAUAGUUUAUCGCAGCCAUCAUGGAAGGCCGAUUGCUGAAGAGGCAGGCCUUCGCUUCGCUGACGUUGAACACUAGCUGGACGCAAUGGUGCCCCUGACCUCCUCCUUCCUCUUCACCACCGCCACCAUCUUCUCCUUCUUGUUUCUGUACCUCCCAACCCUCUCCACGUCGCAGAACAACUAUUCCUACUUCUACGAAGCCUGCAAGCCGCAUGUUUGCGGCACCGUGGCGGUCACCUUCCCCUUCUUCUCCACCGAGCCCUUUUGCGGCCUCCCCGGAUUCAUGAUUACCUGCGACCCCUCCUCCUCUCUCCCCACCAUCACUUUCUCUGACCGUCCCUACCAGGUGAACACGAUCUCCCUCGAUGAUUCCUUGCUCUUGGUGUCCGACUCCCAACUUGCCCAACAGCUCCGCUCCAACUCCUGCGACGCCGCCGGCUUGCGCAACCACUUCCUCCCUGCCACCGGCUUCGCUUCCUUCCAGAUCCCCAACUGGAUCUCCUACCUCAACUUCUCCUGGUGCCAUCGCGACGGGGGUCCGCUUCCUCCCAACUUCACGAGCGAAACCGUCAAGUACGGUGGCUGCCAAGGGAACACCAGCCUUUACUUCCUGUCAGGGACGUUGAACAACGACACCAUGCUUCCGGCGGCGUGCGACCAUGCGUUGCUGCCCAUACUGCUCACGAGCAUCGUUGAGGCUAAUCUCACGCUGGCGAAGCUCAGGAAUUCCAGCGUGGUGCAGUGGGACUAUCUCUUUCCCUUACUGGACAAAGGGUUCGCGCUGCAGUGGGAUUAUAACGACACAAACUGCUCGGUUUGCCAGGACUCCGGCGGCCGGUGCGGCUACAACCAGACCACCAGGGAGCCGCUGUGCUUUUGCAAGGACAGAUGCAAUCGAGAUGGAAAUGUUGGCGCUACCAAGUUUGGCACAUGGAAGAUCGUUCUAGCUGCAGUUGUCCCAACAGCAUUCCUAGCAGGGCUCUUCGCAUUCGUCAAGUUCAAAGAGAAAGGGGCGUCACUCUUUCACCGUCUGAUCAGGAAGAGAAGCACGAGACCAAGCGGCGACUCUGAGAUCAAGGAGUUCAUCAGCGACUACAAAUCGAUGCUGACCACAGAAUACUCGUACGCCGACGUGAGAAAAAUCACAAAUGGGUUCAAGGAAAAGCUUGGGGAAGGAGGCUACGGCAAUGUUUACAAGGGGAAGCUCCCAAAUGGACUUCUGGUAGCUGCCAAGGUGUUGGAGAAGACCAAAGGCAAUGGCCAGGACUUCGUGAACGAAGUGGCCACCAUCGGUCGAAUUCACCAUGUGAAUGUCAUCCGGCUUCUAGGCUUCUGCUGCGACGGCACGCGCCGAGCUCUGUUCUACGAACUCAUGCCCAGAGGAUCGUUAGCUGAUUUGAUAUCCAAGGAAGAGAUGCGACAGAAGCUGGGUGCUCAAAGACUGCUCGACAUCGCUCUUGGAAUCGCCCGGGGCGUCGAGUAUCUCCACAACGGGUGCGAGAAAAGAAUUCUGCAUUUGGACAUCAAGCCUCAGAACGUCUUGCUGGACAGCAGGUUGCAGCCCAAGAUUUCAGACUUCGGAUUGGCGAGAUCGUACUCUCGAAAGGACAGCAGCGUCUCUUUGACAGGCGCCCGAGGUACCGUCGGCUACAUAGCCCCCGAAGUGUUCUUGAGAAGCCUCGGGGGCGUCUCCCACAAGUCGGACGUGUACAGCUUCGGGAUGCUUCUGCUGGAGAUGGCCAUGGGGAAGAAGGAUGCGGCGGCAGAGACGGAGCGGUCCAGCGAGAAUAAGUACUUCCCCGACUGGAUCUACAAUCAAUUACAGGAGUGGCUGCGCGUGGACAUGGAGGACGUGGUGGCGGUGGUGGAGGAGGAUGUUGCCAUACUGAAGAAGAUGGUGAUGGUGGGCUUGUGGUGCAUACAGACCGAUCCGGUUAGCCGUCCUUCCAUGCUCGGAGUGGUAGAGAUGCUCCGAGGGGCUGCCGAGCUCAUCGACAUGCCUCCGAAACCUCGCCUGUUCUCUCCCCCGAGGCAACAGCCGAAGGAGAGCACUAGCUACGGUGAUGAUGGCACACGGUCCUUCUAUUACACAUUCGAGAGCGAGUCGUGCUGAUGGUAGCAGCAAGCCCAGCUGGUAUCAGGUGGAUCUCUUUUGAGCGUGGCACUCAGAACAGGGGAACACAGGAGGAAGGCUAAGAGAAGAAGGGGAGCUGUUCUUCUUGUUCCUUGUGCUUGCUGAUCUGAAGCAUCACAAGGGACUCCACUCAAAUGCAAGAAUAUUUUCCCCUAACUACAAAUGGCCGAUGUACGGAGGAGGUUCGAUCGGACCCGGUCCGGUUCACGAGGCAUGACCCAACACGGACAGCGGAUUCGGAUUCGAACUUGCAUCAAGUGGAUCCAACUCACCGUUGGCUGCACUGCGCACGCCGAGAAUCCGUGUCCUGUCGGCCUUUUACGCCGAGCGGAAGAAAGCAGAACUAUUGGAUCCAAGAAAACCACAGCUUCGUCGGCUGGGCAAUCCAUGCAGGAUCGAACGUCCAUGGCGCAUUCAUCACCAUUGCAGCAAAAGAGCAUUUCUGCCUUCAAGACCGGCUAAGGAGAAGAAGAUAGUUGGCAAUGGUGGCGGUGACGGUGGUGGAGGAAGAGAUACGAGUCAUGGAGCAGAACCCCUGUAAGAAAACUACAGGUCUGGCUUGAUCAAGCAGGUAAUGAAGGCUUUAAACAGGCCCUCAAUCGGCUGCACUUGAUGAAAUGGAAGCCCAAUGGAUAAACUCUUUAUUAGCCAAGGCUUAAGCUUUGGUUGGUUGAUAGCUUGGGUGGGUUUGUGUUUCAGUAUUUAAAUGUCUUAAUCUUUCAUCAAAGUCAUUAAGACUAUUUUUGUCAGAUGAUGAAGUAAUCAUGCUAGCCCAAUUCAACGAAAGAAAUGAGAAUUUUUAUUGAUAUUGUGUAUAAGUUUAUAUGCAGAAGAAGAAAUUACAAAAUAUAAUAAUUAUAUGAUUUUA